GACUGGCCCAUCUUCUGCUAGUGGGGACAAAGAGUCAAUGGCAUGUCUCUCAGUGGCCCCUCCCUGCAAGAACCCUAUAGUGACCCCAGUGCGAGCUAACCUUCCCCAUCUCAGAUCCAGGCCCUGGAGGAUAGCUGGCCAGCAGCAGGUCUGGGGCCAGGGCAUGCCCGCCAUGUGCUGCGCAGCCUGGUAAACCAGAGUGUCCAGGAUGGUGAGGAGCAGGUACGCAGGUGGCAUAUGAACUUCUGGGUGUGUUGCGCUCAUCUGGAGGAGCGGUGCUGAGCCCCCGGGAGCUGCGGGUCUGGGCCCCUCUCUUCUCUCAGCUGGGCCUCCGCUUCCUUCAGGAGCUGUCAGAGCCCCAGCUUAGAGCCAUGCUUCCUGUCCUGCAGGGAACUAGUGUUACACCUGCUCAGGCUGUCCUGCUGCUUGGACGGCUCCUUCCUAGGCACGAUCUAUCCCUGGAGGAACUCUGCUCCUUGCACCUUCUGCUACCAGGCCUCAGCCCCCAGACACUCCAGGCCAUCCCUAGGCGAGUCCUGGUCGGGGCUUGUUCCUGCCUGGCCCCUGAA
rnacentral:lncRNA from 1 species